AUUGAACGCUGGCGGCAGGCCUAACACAUGCAAGUCGAGCGGAUGAAGGGAGCUUGCUCCUGGAUUCAGCGGCGGACGGGUGAGUAAUGCCUAGGAAUCUGCCUGGUAGUGGGGGAUAACGUCCGGAAACGGGCGCUAAUACCGCAUACGUCCUGAGGGAGAAAGUGGGGGAUCUUCGGACCUCACGCUAUCAGAUGAGCCUAGGUCGGAUUAGCUAGUUGGUGGGGUAAAGGCCUACCAAGGCGACGAUCCGUAACUGGUCUGAGAGGAUGAUCAGUCACCUGGAACUUGAGCCGCGUCCCGGCCCCCGCGGGGAGACGCCGGGGGGAAUUUUGGACGAAGGGGCAAAAGCUUACCCCGUCCAGGCGGGGGUUGUAAAGAAGUGCUUCUAUUUGUAAAACUUUUUAAUGGGGGAGGAGGGGCAUUAAUUUAAACCCUUGUUUUUUUGCCUUACCCAACAAAAAACCCCCCGCCUACCUUCGU
rnacentral:rRNA from 1 species